rnacentral:rRNA from 1 species
UUAGUAAUUUAAUAACUCCUAUUAAUUUAUUUAUAUGGUGGCACAAAAUCGGAAGCCCCGACUGUUUACUAAAAACACAACUAUCUGCAAUUAUGAAAAUAAUAGUAUAGGUAGUGAGAUUUGCCCCAAUGCCAUAUUCAUANGUAAUAAUAAUGGGUAACUGUUUCUUUACAAAAAAUUGGUUAAUAGCGGUCUUAACUAUGAGGAUCCUAAGGUAGCAAAAUAAAUUGGCCAUUAAAUGUGGUCCGGUAUCAAUAAUUUAACGAUGGCUUCACUGUCUCUACA